UACGUAGGGUGCAAGCGUUAAUCGGAAUUACUGGGCGUAAAGCGUGCGCAGGCGGUUUUGUAAGGCUGACGUGAAAUCCCCGGGCUUAACCUGGGAAUUGCGUUGGAGACUGCAAGGCUAGAAUCUGGCAGAGGGGGGUAGAAUUCCACGUGUAGCAGUGAAAUGCGUAGAGAUGUGGAGGAACACCGAUGGCGAAGGCAGCCCCCUGGGUCAAGAUUGACGCUCAUGCACGAAAGCGUGGGGAGCAAACAGG
rnacentral:rRNA from 1 species